rnacentral:rRNA from 1 species
UACGAGGGGGGCUAGCGUUGUUCGGAAUUACUGGGCGUAAAGCGCACGUAGGCGGACUAUUAAGUCAGGGGUGAAAUCCCGGGGCUCAACCCCGGAACUGCCUUUGAUACUGGUAGUCUCGAGUCCGGAAGAGGUGAGUGGAAUUCCGAGUGUAGAGGUGAAAUUCGUAGAUAUUCGGAGGAACACCAGUGGCGAAGGCGGCUCACUGGUCCGGUACUGACGCUGAGGAACGAAAGCUAGGGGAGCAAACAGG